AAUGCUAGGGUUCCAAGUGGGCCGUUUCUGGUAAGCAGAACUGGCGAUGCGGGAUGAACCGAGAGCCAGGUUAAGGUGCCUAAAUAGACGCCAAAGGACACCACUAAAGGAGUUGGUCGAUGAAGACAGCAGGACGGUGGCCCUGAAAGUAGGAAUCCGCUAAGGAGUGUCUAACAACUCACCUGCCGAAUCGACUGGCCCUGAAGAUGGAUGGCGCUAAAGCGUUUUACCGAUACCUGGCCAUCAGUAUUAGUGUGUGUGAUACAUACUGAUGGGUAGGAGGGCGCAAUGAUAGCGGAGAAGAGUUUAGCGUAAGCUUGCUUGGAGCUGUCAUUGGUGCGGAUCUUGGUGGUAGUAGCAGUUUAUUCAAGUGAAACGCUUGAAGGCCGAAGUGGAGAAGGGUUCCGCGUAAACAUCAUUUGAACGCGGGUUAGUCGGUCCUAAGUGGCAGCUUACGUGCUGAGAUAUAUAAAGGGGAAGUGUAAUGCAUGUUGUGUUUGGAAUUUAACCGUUUYCAAACCGGUGUGUAUUGCUCUCUCAUGCCACGAAAGGGAAUCAGGUUAAUAUUCCUGAACCAAGCAACGGAUAGUUUGUUUUAAUGUCCAAAGUUAAUGUGUGUUGGGCAACUGAUGCAUGUUGCUUAGAUGUUAAGUAAAUGCAGCGGUAACGCAAACGAACUCAGAGACAUCUUAGGCAGUCCUAGGAAGAGUUAUCUUUUCUGUUUAACGAAAUGGCGCCCUGGAAUUGAGUUGUUCAGAGAUAGGGCUGAGAUUUCGGAAGAGCAUCGCACUCAUGGCGAUGUCUGGUGUACUGUCUAAGGUCCUUGAAAAUCUGAGGGAGUGAAUGAUUUUCGUGCUUGGCCGUACCGUAAUCCGCAACAGGUCUCCAAGGUGAAUAGCCUCUGGCACUAGAACAAUGUGGGUAAGGGAAGUCGGCAAGAUAGAUUCGUAACUUCGGGAUAAGGAUUGGCUCUAAGGGUUGGGCUGGUCGGGCUAGUGCGUUUAGACAUAGUGUGUGUACUGUUGAGUUUUGUUUGUAUGCAAGCAAGCGCUAGCAAUGGUUAAUGUGUGUAUGUGAAUGAGGUUUGACGGUAUAUGUGCUGGUUUAAGUGUCUAGCUUGAUAUGAUGCUGAGUAUUGUUUAUUCAGUGCUUAGUGUUGUAUCCUCGCGGCUAGCUAAGAUCAACUGACUUAGAACUGUCACUGACUAGGGGAAUCCGACUGUUUAAUUAAAACAAAGCAUUGCGAUGGCUGGAAACGGUGUUGACGCAAUGUGAUUUCUGCCCAGUGCUCUGAAUGUCAAAGUGUGGAGACACAACCAAGCGCGGGUAAACGGCGGGUGUAACUAUGACUCUCUCAAGAUAGCCAAAUGCCUCGUCAUCUAAUUAGUGACGCGCAUGAAUGGAUUAACGAGAUUCCCACUGUCCCUACCCUCCAUCUAGCGAACCCACAGUCAAGGGAACGGGCUUGACUGAGACAGCGGGGAAAGAAGACCCUGUUGAGCUUGACUCUAGUUUGAUAUGGUUAGGAGACAUGAGAGGUGUAGCAUAGGUGGGAGAUGUGCUAGCUUGCUAGUAUGUCAAUCUUGAAAUACCACCACUUUCAUUGUUUCCUCACUUAAUCGGUGAUAAUGGAAGUGCCCAGUAGAAGUAUUUACAUUAGCAUAUGUGUGUAUAUUGACUUAACCGUUGGUUGCAUACUAUGACGUAGUAUUUAUGGAAGCUGGUGUCACGAAUAUGAAGAUUUGUAAGGCAAAUGGUGCAUGUAUAUCGCGUGACUAUGUAUAUUUAUGUGCAUAAUUGUUGCGUGGUGUUGUGUAUAUAUAGUGUUUGCUGACCCCAACUAGGUCGACGUAGUGAUACGUUGGCAUGUGUGUGACCGAUGACAGUGUCAGAUGGGGAGUUUGGCUGGGGUGGUACACCCUCUAAAAUGCAACGAGGGUGUCCAAAGGUGAGCUCACCGUGGACAGAAACCACGGGUAGAGUAUAAGGGCAAAAGCUCGCUUGAUUUUGAUUUUCAGUAUGAAUACAAACCACGAAAGUGUGGCCUAGCGAUCCUUUAUUAUGACCUGAAAGUUUCAGGAUAGAGGUGUCAGAAAAGUUACCACAGGGAUAACUGGCUUGUGGCUGCCAAGCGAACAUAGCGACGUAGCUUUUUGGUCCUUCGAUGUCGGCUCUUCCUAUCAUUGGGUAGCAGCGUACCCAAAGUGUUGGAUUGUCCACCCAUUAACAGGGAACGUGAGCUGGGUUUAGAC
rnacentral:rRNA from 1 species